UACGUAGGGUGCGAGCGUUAAUCGGUAUUACUGGGCGUAAAGCGUGCGCAGGCGGUGAUGUAAGACAGUUGUGAAAUCCCCGGGCUCAACCUGGGAAUUGCAUCUGUGACUGCAUCGCUAGAGUACGGUAGAGGGGGAUGGAAUUCCGCGUGUAGCAGUGAAAUGCGUAGAUAUGCGGAGGAACACCGAUGGCGAAGGCAAUCCCCUGGACCUGUACUGACGCUCAUGCACGAAAGCGUGGGGAGCAAACAGG
rnacentral:rRNA from 1 species